CGCGCAGUUCGACUGAGCUCAAAAGUUCCCCCACCAUUAGAGGUGGUUUACUUCCCAUUGCAUCCGCCAUAUACAUGGUGGGUAAAAUAUACUAAUAUAGGAACGGCUUAUUAUAAGACCUCUUUUUAGCAAUAGCAUGGUGAAGACGGGUUGACCCCUGUGGCUCGGGGGGAUUAGAAUACGGCCACGGUAUCCCCUGCCUGUCGUAAGAGGCGACUAAAAGGGGACACACACACACACACACACAGGCUCAAGCAAAAAAUUGUAAAAGUAUGGCAAAUGUAUGAAACAAUGUAAAAUGCAAAAAGGGAAUAAGAUUUGAAAAAAGGUACGCAAAGCGCGCGAGGUCGAAAAUGUUCGUUGGGCAAAAGGGGACAGUAAAAGUCCUCAAAGUACGCCGCCCGGAGGAAACGGGAUGUAAAAAUGCAUCCUUUUUUCCGAACCGGGGAAAAUUAAAGUAAAGUAAAGUUAUUAUAAGACAAAGGUAGUGAAUCAUAAUUCAUAAGUUUAUGAUCAUCGGAUAUACUUUCUGCCCAGCGUGCCCCACGUCAUACAGCCGUACGGCGCAUGCGUGUUACCUUGGUAGGGGAGCGUGGCAGAACCAAUCAGAGCCAACAUGCGCAAACAAAACCAAAAUUCGUUCAUCCGAUGGUACUAUUCUCUUGUAACAAAUACAAUACUUCAAGUAAGAUGAUCAAAGCUAAGAAAGAUAUUUAUGAAAAAUAAUAAAUAUCUUCGGAUUUAAAAAGGUAUUGGUUACAAGAUUGACGAACUAUGUCGGCAGCGAUUCCUACAGCAAAAACUUGGAAAGAAACCAAUCGUUUAUUGAAAGAGCAACGAAAGAAAUGGCGCGAAGAGAGGUUAGCAAAGAAAUUUAAGAAAGAAGAAGCUGAAAAAGAAUUACAGAACGAUGAAACAAAGCCUAUUGAACAAUGUUUUGAGAAGAAAGAUAUUUCGACUGUGAGUAUUGCUGUUCCUGGAUCAAUUUUGGAGAAUGCUCAAUCGCCGGAGUUACGAACGUAUCUUGCAGGACAGAUAGCACGCGCAGCAUGCGUUUACAAAAUAGACGAAAUUGUUGUUUUUGAUGACAAAGGAGAAAUUACUGAAAAUGAAAAGAAGAAAGUCCGAAAUGACGAGGUAUUAGGUGAAAGAAGAAUUGCCUGUUUACAGCUGGCUAGAAUAUUGCAAUAUCUUGAAUGCCCACAAUAUCUAAGAAAGUACUUUUUUCCAAUACAUAAAGACUUACAAUAUGCUGGAGUUUUAAAUCCUUUGGAUGCUCCACAUCAUUUGCGUCAAUCAGAUGUAUCUUUAUAUAGAGAAGGAGUGGUUACAAAUAAACCAGUUAAAGGUGAUAAAGGUUGUUUUGUUAAUGUUGGAUUAUUGAGUGAUGUCCAUGCAGACAAAGUCUUAACUUCUGGAUUGAGAGUCACUGUAAAAAUACCACCAGAUCAGCUAAAUCCCAAAAAAUUGAGAGGAAUUAUUGUAUCUCCUGAUAUUCCAAGGUCGGAUACUGGUAUAUAUUGGGGAUAUAAUGUUAGGCUAGCAAAUAAUCUCACAGAAGUAUUAACGCAAGGUCCUUACAAGGAUGGAUAUGAUUUGACUAUUGGAACUUCAGACAAAGGAAAAUCUAUUGAUGAUAUAGAAGCUAAAAGUAUAAAAUACCAUCAUGCUUUGAUAGUAUUUGGUGGAUUGUCUGGAUUAGAAGCAGCAUUAGAAAGUGAUCCUAAUUUGAAUGUGGAUGACCCAUCUUUGAUAUUUGAUAAAUAUUUUAAUACUUGUCCUGAGCAAGGCUCAAGAACAAUUAGAACAGAAGAAGCUAUUUUAAUUACUUUAGCAGAAUUAAGGAUAAAAUUAUCUGCUAAAGUUUCUCCACUGUCAAAUCCUCAAUAUAAUGGUUUUGUUGGUAACUGAAUUAUCAGUAAAUGCAAUGAAUCUAUUCUGCAAUGCACAAUUCACUGUGUCUCUUAAAGUUUUUAUAACUUUUGCUUGAUCAGAAGAUCCAAUUACAGCUGUUCCAGAAACGAUCAUGUUUGCACCAGCCUAAAACAGUUCCACAUGAAAUGUGUACUGGUCGACACCAGCAUCAGCCAUAGGUUCUAUCCACUGAAAUAAGAAGAUAUAUUUUUUUAUAUGUAUUAGAACAUGAAUAUUAGGUCGCUAUAAUUACUCAUAAUUUUAAGUUCUUCAAUUCAAAAAGUUAGGAUGAAACAUACCUGGUCUGGAUUCGAAACCAUCAUAUGUGUUUCAAAAAAGAUAUCUUUUACUUUGCUACGGAGACAUUUUACCAAUGGAUGGCCGAAAGUAAGGUUAGGUACGAAA